UACGUAGGGUGCAAGCGUUAAUCGGAAUUACUGGGCGUAAAGCGCACGUAGGCGGCUUGGCAAGUCGGAUGUGAAAUCCCUCGGCUCAACCAAGGAAGUGCAUCCGAAACUGCUGAGCUUGAGUACUUAAGAGGAUCGCGGAAUUCCCGGUGUAGAGGUGAAAUUCGUAGAUAUUGGGAAGAACACCGAUGGCGAAGGCAGCCAUCUGGACCGACACUGACGCUGAGGCGCGAAAGCGUGGGUAGCAAACAGG
rnacentral:rRNA from 1 species